rnacentral:rRNA from 1 species
UGGGGAAUAUUGCACAAUGGGCGCAAGCCUGAUGCAGCAACGCCGCGUGAACGAUGAAGGUCUUCGGAUCGUAAAGUUCUGUUGCAGGGGAAGAUAAUGACGGUACCCUGUGAGGAAGCCCCGGCUAACUACGUGCCAGCAGCCGCGGUAAUACGUAGGGGGCUAGCGUUAUCCGGAUUUACUGGGCGUAAAGGGUGCGUAGGUGGUCUUUCAAGUCGGUGGUUAAAGGCUACGGCUCAACCGUAGUUAGCCUCCGAAACUGGAAGACUUGAGUGCAGGAGAGGAAAGUGGAACUCCCAGUGUAGCGGUGGAAUGCGUAGAUAUUAGGAGGAACACCAGAAGCGAAGGCGGCUUUCUGGACUGCAACUGACACUGAAGCACGAAAGCGUGGGUAGCAAACAGG